rnacentral:rRNA from 1 species
GAUGAACGCUGGCGGCGUGCCUAAUACAUGCAAGUCGAGCGAACAGACGAGGAGCUUGCUCCUCUGACGUUAGCGGCGGACGGGUGAGUAACACGUGGAUAACCUACCUAUAAGACUGGGAUAACUUCGGGAAACCGGAGCUAAUACCGGAUAAUAUAUUGAACCGCAUGGUUCAAUAGUGAAAGACGGUUUUGCUGUAACUUAUAGAUGGAUCCGCGCCGCAUUAGCUAGUUGGUAAGGUAACGGCUUACCAAGGCGACGAUGCGUAGCCGACCUGAGAGGGUGAUCGGCCGCACUGGAACUGAGACACGGUCCAGACUCCUACGGGAGGCAGCAGUAGGGAAUCGUCCGCAAUGGGCGAAAGCCUGACGGAGCAACGCCGCGUGAGUGAUGAAGGUCUUCGGAUCGUAAAACUCUGUUAUUAGGGAAGAACAAAUGUGUAAGUAACUAUGCACGUCUUGACGGUACCUAAUCAGAAAGCCACGGCUAACUACGUG